UAGAUGUGGUCAUCGUAUACUACCCUGAAA
rnacentral:piRNA from 1 species